rnacentral:lncRNA from 1 species
CGGGUUGGGUUUAGAGGUUGCCGUUGACAGAUUUACCACCGUCGACGCAGAUGACUUGGCCAUUGAUGUAGCAAGCAGCAGGGAGGCACAAGAAAGCCACCACAGCUGACACCUCCUCCGACUCGGCCACGCGCCCGAGAGGGAUGCGGUACGUCUCCUUCGCCACGAACUCCUCGAUCGCAAGCAACUGUGUUGGGGACGCAAACAUUUAAGUUUGGAAUCCAGGCAUUUCAUCAACUAGGUGGUGGCGGAGGAGGUCAUUACCGGUUCCAUGAGAGGGGUUCUAACGGAGCCGGGCGCGACGCAGUUGGUCCGGAUGUUGUCCUUCGCCCACUCGCAGGCCAGGCUCCUGGUGAGCUGGUUCAGCGCCGCUGGAGAAGAGCAAGCGAGAGUCAAGUUGCUGGAGAUCUCGAAGAGCUCCAAGAGCUCGACGAGUAAUCGAGUACGUACCUUUAGUUGCUCCGUAGAUGGUUAUGUUGUCAAUGCCGACGAUGCCGGCGAGCGAGGAGACGUUGACGAUGGUGCCUGCUCCUGAUGCCUUGAGCAGGGGGUGGGCGAGCUGGGUCAGGUGGAACGCAGACUCCAGGUUGGUGCUCAUCAUAAACUUGUACUCGUCAGGGGUUAUGGCCACCAUCGGCUUCACAAACCCCGUCCCUGCGUUGUUGAC